AGAUGUUAUAAGUGAUAUAAUGGUACCAAUGAAUUGUGAAAAUGGCCUAAAGGAAAAAGAAAGAAAAAACCCUUUGUUGAGGAUUUCUCUUAAUAAUCCUGAUAAAGAAAGAAAAUAUUAGAAGAAAAAUAGAAAUAGGUUAAAAAUAUUUUCAAGAUAUUACAAAUGAUAAAAUAUAAAAUAUAUAAGAAAAUUAUAAAAAAUUAUAAAAAAUAAAAAUAAGAAAAUUAUAAAAAAAAACAAAAAAGAUAAAUAUAAGAGAUAUGAGAAAAAGAUAAAUAUAAGAAUAAAAAUGUUUUUAUGACACAGGAUUUUGAUUAUUUGUACAUCCGGUUAUUAGCUGAUUACUGAUCUACUUUCAAAGGCGGGAAAAAUUUCAAUAUGGACGCCAUGAAGAAGUGAUAAAUUUAGAUUUUUUUGGCCACAUAUAAUUACAACAAAAUAUGUUAUAUAUAUUACUUCAAUUUUUACGUAGAUUUUAAAUAAACAAUCAACAGUUUUAAGUAACCAAAAAAUUGCUAGAUUCAGAUAUUCAGACAAAUUAUUGCAUCAUAAUUGAUCUGAAUCAUAAUCGAAAAUUGAAAAUCAUAAUGAUAGGAUAUAUUUCAUUGAGGUAUUUAGAUUAUGCUAUACUAUAUGACAUAAAAAAUAUUAAUUGAAAUUAAAACAUGCGAUACAAAGUUUCGUAAGAUUUCAUAUCUAUUUUGUUUUUCGUAUCGUGCAAAGAUAUUUUUAAAGCAAAGUAAAAUAAGAAUUGCGUAUCAACGCCAUCUCUUGAGUAAUUGUGAAAAGAAACACUUAAUAUAUAGUAUUGAAUUUCUAUUAUUAUUUUAGUUGCCUUAACUUGCUUAGAGAGAUAUUUUCAGUACUCAAAAGAUGGCGCCUAUGAUUUGAUUUUACGAACAUAUUUUUACUAUCUCUGUUCCUCUCUCAUUAUUUCUUUUUUUAUCUAUUCUAGACAAAAGUCUGGAAAAUUUACAUUUAAUUUCGAUAUUUGAUUAACUUUAUUGUCUUUUUUUCACAUAACCUAUCUUAAUGAAAAAUCUUAAUAAAGUCUAUUCUAAUUUUUAUAUAUUGUACGUAAUGUCAAAAGUUUUCUGUGAAUAUCUCUUGUGAAGGCUAAGGAGAAAGAAAGGAAUAAAAAAGGAUUAAUUUA